UACGUAGGAUGCAAGCGUUGUUCGGAAUUACUGGGCGUAAAGAGUACGUAGGCGGUUUGGUAAGUCUGAUAUUAAAGACCGGAGCUCAACUCCGGGACUGUAUCGGAAACUGCCAAACUAGAGGACAAUAGAGGAAGUCGGAAUUCUCAGUGUAGCGGUGAAAUGCGUAGAUAUUGGGAAGAACACCAGUGGCGAAAGCGGACUUCUGGGUUGUUACUGACGCUGAGGUACGAAAGCGUGGGGAGCAAACGGG
rnacentral:rRNA from 1 species